rnacentral:rRNA from 1 species
UUUGAUCCUGGCUCAGAUGAACGCUAGCUACCGGCUUAACACAUGCAAGUCGAGGGGAAACGACAUCGAAAGCUUGCUUUUGAUGGGCGUCGACCGGCGCACGGGUGAGUAACGCGUAUCCAACCUGCCCACCACUUGGGGAUAACCUUGCGAAAGUAAGACUAAUACCCAAUGACGUCUCUAGAGGACAUCUGAAAGAGAUUAAAGAUUUAUCGGUGAUGGAUGGGGAUGCGUCUGAUUAGCUUGUUGGCGGGGUAACGGCCCACCAAGGCUACGAUCAGUAGGGGUUCUGAGAGGAAGGUCCCCCACAUUGGAACUGAGACACGGUCCAAACUCCUACGGGAGGCAGCAGUGAGGAAUAUUGGUCAAUGGACGAGAGUCUGAACCAGCCAAGUAGCGUGCAGGAUGACGGCCCUAUGGGUUGUAAACUGCUUUUAUAAGGGAAUAAAGUGAGUCUCGUGAGACUUUUUGCAUGUACCUUAUGAAUAAGGACCGGCUAAUUCCGUGCCAGCAGCCGCGGUAAUACGGAAGGUCCGGGCGUUAUCCGGAUUUAUUGGGUUUAAAGGGAGCGUAGGCCGGAGAUUAAGCGUGUUGUGAAAUGUAGAUGCUCAACAUCUGCACUGCAGCGCGAACUGGUUUCCUUGAGUACGCACAAAGUGGGCGGAAUUCGUGGUGUAGCGGUGAAAUGCUUAGAUAUCACGAAGAACUCCGAUUGCGAAGGCAGCUCACUGGAGCGCAACUGACGCUGAAGCUCGAAAGUGCGGGUAUCGAACAGGAUUAGAUACCCUGGUAGUCCGCACGGUAAACGAUGGAUGCCCGCUGUUGGUCUGAAUAGGUCAGCGGCCAAGCGAAAGCAUUAAGCAUCCCACCUGGGGAGUACGCCGGCAACGGUGAAACUCAAAGGAAUUGACGG